rnacentral:rRNA from 1 species
UACGAAGGGGGCUGGCGUUGUUCGGAUUUACUGGGCGUAAAGCGCACGUAGGCGGAUCUUUAAGUCAGAGGUGAAAUCCUGGAGCUCAACUCCAGAACUGCCUUUGAUACUGAAGAUCUUGAGUCCGGGAGAGGUGAGUGGAACUGCGAGUGUAGAGGUGAAAUUCGUAGAUAUUCGCAAGAACACCAGUGGCGAAGGCGGCUCACUGGCCCGGAACUGACGCUGAGGUGCGAAAGCGUGGGGAGCAAACAGG